rnacentral:rRNA from 1 species
AUUGAACGCUGGCGGCAUGCCUUACACAUGCAAGUCGAACGGUAACGCGGGGCAACCUGGCGACGAGUGGCGAACGGGUGAGUAAUGCAUCGGAACGUGCACAGUUGUGGGGGAUAACUGCUCGAAAGAGCAGCUAAUACCGCAUACGACCUGAGGGUGAAAGCGGGGGAUCGCAAGACCUCGCGCAAUUGGAGCGGCCGAUGUCGGAUUAGCUAGUUGGUGGGGUAAAGGCCCACCAAGGCGACGAUCCGUAGCUGGUCUGAGAGGACGACCAGCCACACUGGGACUGAGACACGGCCCAGACUCCUACGGGAGGCAGCAGUGGGGAAUUUUGGACAAUGGACGCAAGUCUGAUCCAGCCAUGCCGCGGGCGGGAAGAAGUCCUUCGGGUUGUAAACCGCUUCUGUCAGGGAAGAAAUCUUCUGGGUUAAUACCUCGGGAGGAUGACGGUACCUGAAGAAUAAGCACCGGCUAACUACGUGCCAGCAGCCGCCGUAACAC